CUGCUUCGCUCCUCUCGUCUCGUCUAGUAUACUUGAGAGACUCUCUCAGCCCUGCUCUCCAAACUACGUAAAACGAUGGAUUUGAUCAGCUGGUCUCUCAACGCAAUUGACACCAUCUUCUCGAUGAGAAGCCUAGGUUCGGGGGAACCUGUCUGGCAGGAACGUAUGCUGCUGGCUACACGAUGGACGGAUGGGAGCGGUGGAGGGUCGUGUGCCUGGCAGCUCUUUCCGUGGAGGACAUUGAAGACAUCUACCUAUUCGGAACCAUGAUUACAGGCCUGGGGGCUGAAGCUAAUUCAGUGGUAAAGACAUGAGCUCGUCUCUUGGAGGUCGACGUGAGGAGGUCUGCACUGGAAAAGACCACACUGAGACCAAACAGCUGUCUCCCUUCCUCCAUCUCUGAGCUACAGGAUGGUAUGUGUCACCUAACCUCUGCACACUGCACGCAGUGAUUUGCAUAUGCCAUAGGAUGCUUGGCCCUUUGCCUCCUUCCUGAUCCAAACUUCUAGGGUCUCCAUGGGUAACCAGCAUCCUGAUGCCAUGAAGAGGGUGUUGAGGAAGAGGAGAAGCUUCAUGGUGUAGUAAUACCAGCCACAUUUAAAUCAACAUGUAGGAAAAAAAAUCACCUGAGCUGCAAAACACAUAGCAAUCCAGUGGGGGCGCUGUUUGGCUCAUUGAGUUUGGAUGCUAUGUCUAUGAUGGGAAGGUCACCUGUUCAAUGUCACUACUGGGCCCCUCCGUAAGGCCCUUAACCCCCCGUUACUCCAGGCACUGUUUGGCCCUGCUUUCUCAAAAAUGUCGCUUUUUAUGAAAUUGUCUGUUAAAUCUAACAUUCAUUUAAUUGAUAGAAAUGUGCAUCACUGGUGAAAGGUAAGC